rnacentral:lncRNA from 1 species
AUUUCUUGGGCCGCUCCCGUGGCAUAUGGAGGUUCCCAGGCUAGGGGUCCAAUCAGAGCUGUAGCCACCAGCCUACACCAGAGCCACAGCAAUGCGGGAUCCGAGCCGCGUCUGCAACCUACACCACAGCUCACGGCAAAGCCGGAUCGUUAACCCACUGAGCAAGGGCAGGGACCGAACCCACAACCUCAUGGUUCCUAGUCGGAUUCGUUAACCACUGCGCCACGACGAGAACUCCUGCAAAAAAUUUUCAAGUUGAGUCGAAUUCAUUUUAACCACUAUUACUAAUAGCAUCAUUAAAAAAUAAAUAAAUGUAAUCUCCAAAUCUUAAUAUUUCAGUUAUCUACAUGGUUAGAGGUUUAGGAUCUGUACAGAAGACCUUUUUCAAAGUUCAUAAAGCUAAGAAUUUAAGAACAUUUCUCUCUUUCUCACUUUCUUUUUCACAGGACUAUCACUGCUAAGGUUUUAAAAAUGUUCUAGCUGUUGGUAGCUAUUCAGUUCUUGCACAAAGACACAAAUCCUGGCUGCUGGCCUUUUGGCAUCUGCUAAUAUUUUCAUAGACCUCAAUUGAACUUUCUGUCUGUUCAUGGAACUUCAGAGGCUGACAAAAGAAACAGCUUCUAUUUGUCUUUUUCACCCUUCACUUUUAAUCCUUUCCAUAAGCCACUUGAAAGGACUGUGUGAGGCAGUUCAAGAAUAAAAAGGGAAAAGAAGAAAAUCUAUGUUUCCUUCACAAUGUUUGUCUCCCCUUCCUUUUCAUCCAGAGAAUAGCAAAUUAAGCAACCAUGAAAACGGGGGAUAGUGCGGUGCAUAUAACCAAGCUUAGCAUUGGAUGAGCCUCAAACUUAUAACAGCCAUUUAAGCCUCCCUUGUGUGCAAGAAUUAAUCAGCAAAAGCAGUCAUAAAAACACACACACAAAAGGAAAAGUGAUUUAGCAGUGGAGCAGAGCAAGAGGGGCCUGCCCAAGAGCAGUGAGCUCACAACUUAACAAAAUGACAGCACCCCAAGUUUGCCACGACACGUAGGUCCUUCUGGGCCAUCAGUCCCCCCCCCCCUGCCUUCUGAAGCCCUGGGAACAUGGCUUUCAUGUGCCUUCCUCAGCUUCACUGUCUCUCUCUUCACCAAGGAACAAGGCCUGGCCUGUCUGGUUGGUGACUGCUCUUACCUGCUUCUCCAAGUCAGCACAUCCAGAGCACAGAUCACCUCCAGGGAGGUGGAAGGCUGGUCCUGCCACCGUAGUUUGCAUAGAAGGGCAUCCUCUGCCUCCUUGGGUCUUCCCCAGAUGGGUUGCCCUGCAUCCUGGGACAUGGAGUCACGGCUGCUGACAAAGCUGCAGUCACCAAUCCAAUCCACUGGUAAGAAGAGUGCUGGUUUGCCUCUGAUGUACUUUCCCUUAUGCUCCGAGGACAGCUGUACUGUCAGCCGGUGAGCCUCCUGGGUAUAUUCUUAGUCAACAAGUUUGCUGCAAAUCCUCUCAGUCAAUGAGGUGUUUCUUUCCUCCCUCCUUUUUCUUUCGUCUUUUUAGGGCCGCACUCACGGCAUAUGGAAGUUCCCAGGCUAGGGGUCGAAUCAGAGCUGUAGCUGCUGGCCUACACCACAGCAACACUGGAUCUGAGCUGUGUCUGUCACCUACACCACAGCUCAGGGCAAUGCCAGAUCCUUAAACUACUGAAUGAGACCAGGGAUCGAACCUGGAUACUACUUGGGUUCGUUAGCCACUGAACCACGAUAGGAACUCCCUCUUUUCUUUCCAUUUAAAAAAAAAAAAAAAAUCCAUACUCUACUGAAUGCCUUCUUCAAUGUCAUGUGUUUAAUUUGCUGUGGCUGAUCUUUCUGACUUCCAUGUUCUGGCACAAUUUUUAGCCCUUAAUGUCAGACAAUGUAUGGGAGUAGAAAUGUGGGAUCAGUUGCAAAUAAGGGAAGUUUACCACAAUUCAAAGAUCCAAGUUUUAUAUGACCUUUCAAGAAAUGUUUGCAGGAACACAGAAGACAAGUAAGUGACAAUUUGAGAUUGGUGGAAGUUCUUUAAGGUCCUGAGGACUGUUAUAAACCUCAUGGUGGUCCCAUCACCAUGGGGGAAGAAACUGUGGCUUUGUAGGAUUUGAACAAUAGAGGAGCACAAGUGUGUGAUGCUACAGGUAGCCUGUAUCCUUAGGAUCCAGCCCUGGAAUCAGCCAUGUCUCCUAGAAGCCUCCUUUCAGUGGGAACUAAUACCUGGGCGCUAGACUUUCUGCUCUGGUCUUUGCUUCUUGGCACUUUCAGUAAAUAGAGCUAGGGAAUCCAAUCUAUUUUUCUAAUCUAAUCUUAGAUUUCCUAGCUCUCUUUACAUAUAUAUACCUGCAUACCAAUAUACUCAUAUACUAGCUAUUCUUCUGUUAUUUUUAUUUUUAUAUAAAACUUAAAAUUUCAUCAAUGCAAAGGUGGUUUUCACUUUAAUAUCAAUAUAUCACACUAAUCUUGGCUUAAGGGAACUGCUUUUGUAAACAGAGGAUAGUAAUAACCAUUUUAUUCCCAAUUGCAGGAAAUACUUAACCUAUUUAAUCUCUAUAUGAAUUGAGCAUAGGAGAAAAUGAUUUUAGUGUAAUACUUCCUUGAAAAAGCUUAUUUUAUUGCCCUAUUCCUAAUAUUUCCUCAUUCUUUCUACUCUUCAUCUCUUGCCAAGCCCUCAUCCCACCAAGGGAGAAGGAAAACCCUGCCACCACUGUGUUCUGGCAGUUUCUGCUUCGUAGAAAUGGAAUUUGCAGUUGAAAACAGACUUUAUUUUUGGGAGAGUCGUGGCAUGUGAAAGUUCCCAGGCCAGGGACUGAACCCAUGCAACAGCAGAAACAGGCUUUUAACUCAUCAGUCUUUGGAUCAGAACUCUCAAUUGUAUAUCUAUGGCCCUAAAAUGAACUCAAAACAAUUGCACUCCAUUGCUUCUGCUUUAGGCUUGCGUCUAUAUUGAAGAACCCCUACCCAAGGCCAGAGAUUAACCAACUCUGAGUCCAUCAUGGUAAUUCAUGCUAAUUUUAAUUACAAUAAGCUAAACUAAAGUCAAUUUCACCUGCUUCAAAUAUGUGAUUUAAAAGAUCAUAACUGCUGAUCCAGUGGUCCAUGGAGGUCCAUUAAAUUUUAAAAUUCUGGAUCCUAAAAAACUAAUGUUCAUCAUCACUUACAUUUACUUUUGUUUCUGGCAUAAAUUAACAUUAAAAAACUAUACUCUCAAUAGGAUUUCCUAAAAGACAGCCUUUUAAACUUAUUUUUUAUUUUUUAAAUUAAUUAAUUAAUUUAAUGGCUGCUCCUGUGGCAUAUGGAAGUUCCCUGGCUAGGGGCAGAAUUAGAGCUGCAGCUUUGCUCUAUGUAUGCCACAGCCACAGCAAUGUCAGAUCCCAGCCACAUCUGCAACCUGUGCCACAGUUUGCAGCAAUGCCUGAUCCUUAACCUACUAAGUGAGGCCAGGAAUCAAACCAGCAUCCUCACAGAGACAGCAAGGUCCUUAACGAGCUGGGCCACAACAGGAACUCCUAGACAGCCAUUUUUUCCAUUAAUUCUGGAAAAAGUUUAGUAAUCUCAAGGCCGACCACAUAUGAUAGUUGAUCAAUAGAGUUUUACAUUCUACUGACGUAGUCCAAAGCUUUAGAAAAUACAUCUCAAAAAAUAUAUCAUAUCGCUUUACUCAAUUUUAUGUGGCUAUGAUAAGCCAACAGACCAUCUCAUGAAGGCUUAACUUUUCAGUCAGAGGAGAUUACCCUUAAUGUCAGAGAACUUUCAUCUUAGAAACCGUCGUGAUUAUUAUCGCUACUGAAACUUUUAAGCAUUUUAACCAUUUUUAUAUCUUCUCUU